rnacentral:rRNA from 1 species
UACAGAGGGGGCAAGCGUUGUUCGGAAUUACGUGGGCGUAAAGGGCUCGUAGGUGGCCAACUAAGUCAGACGUGGAAAUCCCUCGGCUUAACCGGGGAACUGCGUCUGAUACUGGAUGGCUUGAGUUCGGGAGAGGGAGUGCGGAAUUCCAGGUGUAGCGGUGAAAUGCGUAGAUAUCGGGAGGAACACCGGUGGCGAAGGCGGCGACCUGGGUCGAUACUGGACGCUGAGGCGCGAAAGCGUGGGUAGCAAA